rnacentral:rRNA from 1 species
AAAUCGGAACGCUAGUUUCGAUGGAGGCGCUGGUGGGAUACUACCCCUGCGUUAUGGCCACUCUAACCCGCACCACUAAUCGUGGUGGGAGACAGUGUCAGAUGGGCAGUUUGACUGGGGCGGUCGCCUCCUAAAAGGUAACGGAGGCGCCCAAAGGUUCCCUCAGAAUGGUUGGAAAUCAUUCGAAGAGUGUAAAGGCAGAAGGGAGCUUGACUGCGAGACCAACAAGUCGAGCAGGGACGAAAGUCGGGCUUAGUGAUCCGGUGGUUCCGCAUGGAAGGGCCAUCGCUCAACGGAUAAAAGCUACCCUGGGGAUAACAGGCUUAUCUCCCCCAAGAGUCCACAUCGAC